AUGUCUAAAUGGACUGAACCUCCUGUAUCAGAUCCUGUUGAACUGGGACGAAAUACAACUUUGCAGUGUUCAAUACUCACAGAUGUGUCUGCAGGAGAUCACCGUGUGUACUGGUUCAGACAUGGAUCAGGAGAAUCCCAUCCAGGAAUCAUUUACACUCAUGGAAACAGGAGUGAUGAGUGUAAGAAAAGCUCUGAGACUGAUUCUCCUACACAGAGCUGCGUCUACAAACUCCCCAAGAGAAACCUCAGCCUCUCUGAUGCUGGAACUUACUACUGUGCUGUGCUCAUGUGUGGAGAGAUCAUCUUUGGAGACGGAACUAAACUGGACUUUAUACAGAAAAGUGUUUUGGACCCAGCCAUUCUUGCUUUAACAGCAUCAAACAUCAUCUCCAUAAUUGUGGUUUUAUUUCUGUAUAGAAAAUUACACCAAAGCCAUCAUGAAGAUGCUGCUGAAGGUCAUGCAGUCCAAGCAAAUCAGGGUGAAUGUGAUGAAGCUUUGAACUACGCAGCACUGAGUUUCACUAAUAAACCACCGUCAUCCAGAAGAACUAGAAGACAACAGAAGCCUAAAGACACUGAAGUUUACUCUCAGAUCAAAUUUCCCCAAUAAAACUGAACAACUGAACAGAAAAUAAUUCUCUCACCUUUUACUGCGGAUUACUCAUAAAAUAUCAACUGAGGAUAUUUGGGUAUUUGGUUUGAUGCCGUGCGAUCCAGUCUUCUUUAAGUUUCCAACCAAAGACAAAGUAUUUGAGGAUUAAAGUUUUGUACCUUGUUUAUCCACAUGUUACAUAUUUCUUGUCAAUUUCCAAUUGUAAUUGUACGUCAGUGCUACAUAAUAUCAGGUAUGUACUUU